UGAGUCAUCCCUGACCCCUUGAGGGUCCUAAAGGGCCGUUGGAGACCACAACGUUGAUAGGUGGGGUGUGUAAGCGCGGCGACGUGUUGAGCUAACCCAUACUAAUUACCCGUGAGGCUUAACCAU
rnacentral:rRNA from 1 species